UGGGGAAUAUUGCACAAUGGAGGGAACUCUGAUGCAGCGACGCCGCGUGAACGAAGAAGGCUUUCGAGUCGUAAAGUUCUUUUAUAUGGGAAGAUAAUGACGGUACCAUAAGAAGCAGCCCCGGCUAACUACGUGCCAGCAGCCGCGGUAAUACGUAGGGGGCUAGCGUUGUCCGGAAUCACUGGGCGUAAAGGGUUCGCAGGCGGAAAUGCAAGUCAGGUGUAAAAGGCAGUAGCUUAACUACUGUAAGCAUUUGAAACUGCAUAUCUUGAGAAGAGUAGAGGUAAGUGGAAUUUUUAGUGUAGCGGUGAAAUGCGUAGAUAUUAAAAAGAAUACCGGUGGCGAAGGCGACUUACUGGGCUCAUUCUGACGCUGAGGAACGAAAGCGUGGGUAGCAAACAGG
rnacentral:rRNA from 1 species